GUGUGUGUGUGUGUGUGUGUGUGUGUGUGUGUGUGAUUGUGUGUGUGUGUCCGCUCCAAUUUUGUCUGGGUAUGUUCCUGUGUAAGUUCUCUGACUAGGAGGAGAGAAAACCAUACACAAAGGCAGAGUGAACAGGUGACACAUCAGCCUGCAAGGGUGUAGGUGAAGGUGGAACUGAAAGAAAAAGACUUUUCCACCUCUGAAGGAAGGAACAUAUGUGAAAGGCCAUUAUGUCAGCUGAGAAUGAAGGGCUGACCCAUUGUAAAUUCAUCCUGGUGUUCGCCAUUACUAUGGACCUCAUUGGGAUUACUAUACUCCUGGUGGGAGUCUUUGUCACUUUAGAAGUUAAAGGUCAAGACUUUGGUGAUCUGCUGGUCUACUCGGGCGUGCUGUUGGUCCUGAUGUCGAUGAUCGGCUGGGUCAUGUGGUACAGUGGCAACAUUGAAGGCUUGAGCAUAACAAAGGACCUUGGAAAUAAACACAGUGCUGUGGAUCGCCUAGCUCACACGCUCAGUCUGCGCAUACGAGGGAGCCGUCGUGCAAAAUAGGAUGACCUUCUUGGAGCUGAGACUUCUCUUACUGGAGUGACAGAUUACCUUCAAUGCUCAAAUGUCCCAAAAUAGUAUAGGUAUAGUGGUGUGGUUUAUUAGUUAUCUUAAAUACAACAGUUUACUGACUACUGGCUGUACUUGUGAAUAUAAUUUAUAUAUUUAUUUGGCAGAAGUAGGAACCAACAACCUGAUAGUUUUGUGUUUAUUUAGAACUCUACACACACUCUAUAAUAUGGAUUUGAUCGUGUGAAUGUACCAACAGUACACAUGAGAAGUUCUGGUUUAACUCGUUCACUUUGAUAUCCCCCGUUUUAAAGGUGUGUAAAUAGUACAAUUUUACUGGUUUUACUGAGUAAUAACAGUAAAUUAUACCCAUAACAAUUCUGGAUAAAGACUGUGUUCUAAAUUCAGGACUGUAUAUUUGUUACGUUUUGAUUUGUGCUUGGGUUAAUUAUGAUUUAACUUUGAAUGGAGAUUUUUUUUUUUUUAAAAAAAGGUAUGUAUAUACAGAUGGUGUUUUGUAUUUUAAUAAAUAAUAUUGUACUUAAAAAAGUAAAUUAAACUUUAAUAAUACAGGCUGAUGUGUGUUCACAUAUACACCAUAAAUUGGCCAGUAUUUCCAGUUCUCAAUAAUUAAUGUUCAAGUGUAGACAUGUUCUGUCAAAUACAAACCUCAUAGUAAUGUCUAUAUUGUAACAUUCUGAACUCACAUGCAAAUCUUGAGGCAAAUUUCACAUCGCUUUACAUGAAUACUAACAACGUUCCAAGUAUAAAAAUAGUUUGAUCAA